UUGAACGCUGGCGGCAGGCCUAACACAUGCAAGUCGAGCGGAUGAAGGGAGCUUGCUCCUGGAUUCAGCGGCGGACGGGUGAGUAAUGCCUAGGAAUCUGCCUGGUAGUGGGGGAUAACGUCCGGAAACGGGCGCUAAUACCGCAUACGUCCUGAGGGAGAAAGUGGGGGAUCUUCGGACCUCACGCUAUCAGACGAGCCUAGGUCGGAUUAGCUAGUUGGUGGGGUAAAGGCCUACCAAGGCGACGCUCCGUAACUGGUCUGAGAGGAUGAUCAGUCACACUGGAACUGAGACACGGUCCAGACUCCUACGGGAGGCAGCAGUGGGGAAUAUUGGACAAUGAGCGAAAGCCUGAUCCAGCCAUGCCGCGUGUGUGAAGAAGGUCUUCGGAUUGUAAAGCACUUUAAGUUGGGAGGAAGGGCAGUAAGUUAAUACCUUGCUGUUUUGACGGUACCAACAGAAUAAGCACCGGCUAACUUCGUG
rnacentral:rRNA from 1 species